rnacentral:misc_RNA from 1 species
GAUGAAGAACGUAGCGAAAUGCGAUAAGUAAUGUGAAUUGCAGAAUUCAGUGAAUCAUCGAAUCUUUGAACGCACAUUGCGCCCGCCAGCAUUCUGGCGGGCAUGCCUGUUCGAGCGUCAUUUCAACCCUCGAGCCCCCCCGGGGGCCUCGGUGUUGGGGGACGGCACACCAGCCGCCCCCGAAAUGCAGUGGCGACCCCGCCGCAGCCUCCCCUGCGUAGUAGCACACACCUCGCACCGGAGCGCGGAGGCGGUCAUGCCGUAAAACGCCCAACUUUCUUAGAGUUGACCUCGGAUCAGGUAGGAAUACCCGCUGAACUUAAGCAUAUCAAUAAGCGGAGGA